rnacentral:rRNA from 1 species
UACGUAGGGGGCAAGCGUUGUCCGGAAUCAUUGGGCGUAAAGAGCGUGUAGGCGGCCCGGUAAGUCCGCUGUGAAAGUCCAGGGCUCAACCCUGGGAUGCCGGUGGAUACUGUCGGGCUCGAGUCCGGAAGAGGAGUGUGGAAUUCCUGGUGUAGCGGUGAAAUGCGCAGAUAUCAGGAGGAACACCGGCGGCGAAGGCGGCACUCUGGGCCGGUACUGACGCUGAGGUGCGAAAGCGUGGGGAGCAAACAGG